AUCGCAGUAGCUCAGUUGGUGGAGCCUCUGCCCGGUAAGCGGGGUGUCGCCGGUUCGAUUCCGGCUCUCGGCGUUG
rnacentral:tRNA from 1 species